AGCAAUCUGUCUGCAUUGGCCUCCCAAAGUGCUGGAAUUGCAGGCGUGAGCCACCAUGCACCCAGCCACAAACAUUUAACUAGAAGAAAAAACAACAAAAAUGGACAGUGAUUAUUUUAUUUUUCUUCUUUACUUUUUUCUAUAUUUUUCUAAAACAAGCAGGUACUACUUGUCAGGAAAAUAAAUGCUGUUUAUAAAGAUAAUGUCCAUCAAGAGUGUUUUAAACGAAGAACUGUUUUCAAAAGAUUCUCUACACAGUCAGUUUUUAUCCCCAGCCUGGUAAGUGAAGGGCCCCCAUCCACUGUCCCCUGGUUAGAAGAGUUUUCCCAAGGGUUUCUUUUAACACGAGUCUGGGGUUAGGAGAAUUUUGUCCAGCAGGAACAAGAGUGACCUUAUUAGUCCAGUCAGAUUCUCUUACUAAUUGAGCUACACAGAGAUCAGUAGUAAAGGCAGAAAAGGAAAGGAAAGGGAAAGGAGGAGGGAGAGGAUGGGUUAUUUGAAUGGCUGGAGUGCAGACUACUGGGGAGGGGAUAAAGAAGCUUUAUAUUCACAUAAUAGCUGGAGCUGCCUUAGACCCUGGACAAGCUUCCAAUUCCAGGAUUCUAUGCCAUGCAGGUCCAUAGUUCCUAUUUUUCCCGUGAAGACUUGGUAAUUGGUCUUCCUGGCAGAUCCACGGCCAAGAAUCCUGUUUUCCUUGGUCCCACAGGUAACCUUUUAACAAUCUAUCUGGUGGCCCAUUAAAAUUCCCUUCUGGGUCGGACUAUAUUUGGAUUAUUUGAACCAGCUGAGCAAUUUCAGGAUAUGAAGAGCUUGAGACCAGGCAGUGCCGAACGACAGUACAAUGGUCGACACUGAGUUUUCCGGCAACUUCUUGUGCAGUUGUAAGAGGAUCAGCUUCAAUGAUUGCUCUCAGUUGGUCGUUGUCACCUUCUGCCGGCUGGCCACUACACUGCUCAUCUUCAAGGCUCUUGUCUCCUUUGCAGAACUUCUUGCACCACCACUGCACUGUAUGUUGGUUAGCAGUUCCCGGGCCAAAUGCAUUGCUGAUGUUGCAUGUUGUCUCUGCUUCCUUACAACCCAUUUUGAACUCAAAUAAGAAAACCACUCGAAUUUGC